GAGCGGCCGAUGCCAGAUUAGGUAGUUGGUGGGGUAAAGGCCUACCAAGCCGACGAUCUGUAGCUGGUCUGAGAGGACGACCAGCCACACUGGGACUGAGACACGGCCCAGACUCCUACGGGAGGCAGCAGUGGGGAAUUUUGGACAAUGGGGGAAACCCUGAUCCAGCCAUGCCGCGUGCGGGAAGAAGGCCUUCGGGUUGUAAACCGCUUUUGUCAGGGAAGAAACGGUCUGCGCUAAUACCGCGGACUAAUGACGGUACCUGAAGAAUAAGCACCGGCUAACUACGUGCCAGCAGCCGCGGUAAUACGUAGGGUGCAAGCGUUAAUCGGAAUUACUGGGCGUAAAGCGUGCGCAGGCGGUUGUGCAAGACAGAUGUGAAAUCCCCGGGCUUAACCUGGGAACUGCAUUUGUGACUGCACAGCUGGAGUGCGGCAGAGGGGGAUGGAAUUCCGCGUGUAGCAGUGAAAUGCGUAGAUAUGCGGAGG
rnacentral:rRNA from 1 species